AUUGGAGAAACUAUUAGCGAACAGCAUGGAUCCUGACCAGACUGCGCGGAUGCGCAGGCUGGUCUGGAUCCAUGCUGGUCGCAUAACCACUAUGUUGGUUUUCUCAUGGCACGGCUCAUUUCUUUUCACUGUGUAAUAUUAUGUGUGAUACAAGAUUUAUAUCAGUUGGUGAUGUUUCCUGAAAGGAGAAAAGUCGUUAUUUUUGAUGUCAUUUUAAACCUUGUUUCCCAACAAAAGGCAUUUUGCCAGAUGGGACUUUUUAACAUGACAAUUCACAUUUCUUAUUUUAACAUUUAGAUGCUUUCUAGGUAUAGGUCUUAUCUUUUAGUAUUAAUUUAUUUACACAUUCCCUAACAAAAGACCAUUUUCCUGUAAAAAAAGCUAAAUAUACAAACAAAUAUUGAAAUUUGAGUUACAUGUUCCAAGCUCAUUUUUAAUGGAGCACUUUUGCUGCUUUAAAACCAUCAUUUUCUGGAACAUUAAUUUUUAUGCCACCCCUUUACAGAAGAGGAGGUGUACUGUUUUGCUCAUUGUUGGCUGGUCCUUCAUAAUGUAGACCAUUUGGUUUCUAGUCAGUAACUAGAGAAUGCUUGGUCUCUCAGAUGCCUUUGGUUAUUGGAUGAUUUGGGUGUGUGUGUGGUGGGGGUGGGCGGGGGUGGUGGAGGGUCAAAGUUCAAGAUAACAGUGACCUUGAGACAGAAAACAGUUUCCACACAGUAACUUGAGAACUCUUUGUCCUUCAGUCAUCAAACUUCAUAGGAUGACCUCUGUUGCUUUUGGGGUUAAUAAGUAAAAGGACAAAGUCACAUGACCUGGAGACUGAAAACUUCAUCCCAGUAAGUAGUGUUCUGGUCACAGUUGUCUCAACUUCGUAGGAUGAUUGCCUGUGGUCAGUAAAUUACCCUUAUUGUUUUAGGAGUCAGUAGGUCAUAGAUCAAGGACACUGAAAAUAAGCUGCGCCAUGAGAAAACCAGCAUAGUGGCUUGGCGAUCAGCAUGGAUCCAGACCAGCCUGCGCAUCUGCGCAGAUUGGUCAGGAUCCAUGCUGUUCGCUUUCAAAGCCUAUUGCAAUUAGAGAAACAGCGAACAGCAUAGAUCCUGACCAGACUGCGCGGAUGCGCAGGCUGGUCUGGAUCUUGCUGGUCGCCAAGCUACUAUGUUGGUUUUCUCAUGGUGUGGCUCAAAUGUUUUCUGCUUAGUAUGAUUGAUUGUUUCAGUAGAUGACCCAAGUUGUUCUUUGGGGUCAAGUAGGUCAGAGGUCUUAGUGGUCUUGAGACUGAACAGGGUUUCCUAUCAAUAAUUGCAGUCUGUAAAUUUCAUAGGAUGAUUGUUUAUGGUCAGUAUAUGACCUGUAUUAUAUUGGGAGUCAGGAUGUCAAAGGUCAAGGACAUAGUGACCUCGGGGACUGAAAACGUGACGAGCGGUUUUUGGGGGGCAUACAUGUUUUAGAAACAGCUUUUGUUGUGUGGUUUAUUUACUUUUGGUGUAUUUGUUUCUGGGUGUGGUUUUACAUCUGCAUGCAUGUGUUGUCGAUCACUGAGGCUAAUUAAAAAUGAUAUGAAUGAGAUUGUUUGCCUGAAGCUUGUGUGGAUAUUUGGAAUGAUAUUCAGUAAAUAGGAAAUUCUUUAUAUGCCUCAUCUGUUAAAAUGAGAAUAAAUUUUUGUAGCAAUAUGGCCGUUGUGUUUUUAAUUCUUUUGCUCCAAUGCAGCGUUCUAAAAACAAAUUUGAUUCAAGACAUUGUCUGAAUUUCAGCUAAUUUCACCAUACACACAUGCCUAAAUGGAAGAAUAGAAGCUUCAAUCUGUCUGUUAAAGCAGUAUUUCUGUAAACAUUUCAACCAGAAUUUCAAACAAAAAUACAUUUCCUGGAAGAAAAUCUGUAUAAAAUGUUAGAUGAUUUUUGCAGCAUUUCCUCAUAAACUAGAACAAACAUUGUCUCGAGUUGCUUUUAAAAUGAUGUACAAAAUCAAUAUGCUAGUUAGACUGUAACAAAUACUUGAAUUCUGUUUUUUCUUCUAAUAUUUCUAAAUGCCAGGUAUUCAUAUAUCAUUUUAAUGAAGGUUUCCAACAUUCAGUUUUAGCAGUUGUUCUGUUUUAUACUUAAAAGUACAUCUUACACAUGACAUUAUAUUUCUAACUGCCAACUGACCUACUUUUUCUACAUGUUAGCUUGCUUCUAGUAUAGAAUAAGUUCGAACUGGUGUAUGUAACAAUUUAAGAUAAGACAGCAACAUCUGGAAUUGUGUACCAAUGUUUUGUCACGCAAAUUGAUCAGCAUCAUUUUUAUUGACAGCCAGAGUAAAAAGUGAUGUGAGUGACACUUGUAAAACAUCAAAUCUAAUUAUAGACCUGUUUCAAUCAGGAGUCCAGUCAGAGAAUGCAGCUUUCUGAUUGGUCAGUUUCAAUAUUGAGCUUGGAGUCGACCAGUCAGAGACUAGGAGUUUUUAGAAUGGUCUCCUAUCUCAGUUUUAUUAUGUUAAACCUUUAAAUUAAAGUUUAAAGAAUUUUCAGAUGAAGAAAGAAUAUGUGGUUAAUCUUGUUCUUGGUUACAAAUGGCUCAAUGUUUCAAAUGUUUUAACUGAUAUGCAAUGUUGAAUGUUAAUUGUUAAGUUUGCCUAGAUCCCGUGCACUUCAUCGUUUUGCUUUAGAAUUUAAGCUAGGUUUGUUACAAUGACCUGCUGAAUCUUAAAAAUUCAUUUCUUUCAUAUGUAAUUUGUUUUUUUAUUACACAAAGUAAACAGAAACUUUUCAUAUGAACUCUGAUAAAAUA
rnacentral:lncRNA from 1 species